GGGUAGAGGUGCGCUCCCGAACAGUAUCCCCUUUCGUUCAAAGCCGGCGUCGGCUGUGAAAGCGGGAAAAAGGCGUGGGCGCCGAAAGCGGGCGCGGACGCAGGCGCUUUGCUUGGUCUGGCGGAAAACAUCCGUCCGACUGUCGUUAUUAUUACGGAGAGCUAUCGGG
rnacentral:ncRNA from 1 species